UGUUUAGAUCCUUCUUCUGGCAAUGAAAGUGACCAGGAAGAUGCAUCAUUGCUUCCUUGCAUUCCUCCUUAUAUACCCUAUACUCCUUAUAUAUCCUAUAUAUUGCGUUCACAUGACAAUGUGAAUGCUUCACUUUUGAAGGAGGAGGCGGACUCCAUCUUGGCAAACUCUUUCCAGAACUCCCGGGAGCAGCACGACAGAGGGAAAGGCAUACAGGCGCAGCUAAAUACUCUUGUCACAGGGGGAAGAAACUGCUGAAAGACACUGCUGUGCCGCUCUGUCUCAGCGAGAGCGGUGCUACAACUGCAAGGUGCAGGGGCACCCUCCUCGAAGAGUGUCCACCGGCAAGCCACCCAGGCACUCCCGGUAAUGGAUGAUGUAAACAGUGAUCUUGCUGACUUCAUCGGAUUUGUGCUACCAAAAAUAAAAAUUCAAAAGACCUGGUGUUGGAGACUCUCCAGACCUUAGGUGUGGAAACCCUGGAAGAUCUGAAAUAUCUCGAGGAGCCAGAUCGUGUUAACACCCUGAGGCCUAUUGAAGCAAGAAUUAUUUUUUGCACGGAUGAAAGUAUAUUUAAUUGUAAAUACAGUGCAGAUCAUUUCAACUCUCUGUUAUCCACCUCAAGCUCAAGGGACAACAACUUUCAAUUUUGAGAUACCCUGGAGUAAACAUCUUAGUGAAAUUUCCAAGAAGAUUGCAUCAGCGUAUCUUCAUUCAUUCAGAGAUGUUGUUGAAGGUCAAGUUGUUGUUGUGUAGAAGUUAUGACUCUCUUACCAAGCAGCUGCAGAGUUGACCACAUGAAACGGGGGAAAAUCUCACUAUAGCUGAAGAGAACAAACAUCCAGCUCAAGUCAGGGAGAAAACCCACCUUCCAAGAUAAGAGUGAAACCUAUUGCUGUAUAACUUGGCAACCAAAUCAAUUACCGCCAGGUAAAAUUGAGGAGAACAUCAAAAGUAUUGAAAAUAAAACGGUGCAUUUUUUUUACACGUCUAGCAGCAGUAUAAUAAGUAGAAUGACCCAGUGAUUUGACCC